GAUGAACGCUGGCGGCGUGCCUAAUACAUGCAAGUCGAGCGAAUGGAUUAAGAGCUUGCUCUUAUGAAGUUAGCGGCGGACGGGUGAGUAACACGUGGGUAACCUGCCCAUAAGACUGGGAUAACUCCGGGAAACCGGGGCUAAUACCGGAUAACAUUUUGAACCGCAUGGUUCGAAAUUGAAAGGCGGCUUCGGCUGUCACUUAUGGAUGGACCCGCGUCGCAUUAGCUAGUUGGUGAGGUAACGGCUCACCAAGGCAACGAUGCGUAGCCGACCUGGGAGGGUGCUGGGCCAACAUGGGACUGAGCAACGGCCCAGACUCCUACGGGAGGCAGCAGUAGGGAAGCUUCCGCAAUGGACGAAAGGCUGACGGGGCAACGCCGCGGGAGUGAUGAAGGCUUUCGGGUCGUAAAACUCUGUUGUUAGGGAAGAACAAGUGCUAGUUGAAUAAGCUGGCACCUUGACGGUACCUAACCAGAAAGCCACGGCUAACUACGUGCCAGCAGCCGCCGCCG
rnacentral:rRNA from 1 species